AAAUUAUAUAUUUAUCGUGCUUUCCUUUUUGAUUUUAUUUUUCCAUUCAAGAUAUCACAGAAUGUUUGAUAACUGAAACCAUUCUCAAGAAAAUCUUGCUAAUCAAACAAGGAAGUACCAGCGCACCUAUGCAGUAUGUAAGAUGCUCAGUGCAACCACAAGUUAGACAGAUCUCAGCAGGGAAAGACCGGCUUAACCAUCUAGAACUGUGUGCUUGUGUGUGCAUCAGAGUACACUUGAA
rnacentral:lncRNA from 1 species